rnacentral:rRNA from 1 species
GACGAACGCUGGCGGCGUGCCUAAUACAUGCAAGUCGAGCGCAGGAAACUGACGGAACUCUUCGGAGGGAAGGCAGUGGAAUGAGCGGCGGACGGGUGAGUAACACGUAAGGAACCUGCCUCAAGGAUUGGGAUAACUCCGAGAAAUCGGAGCUAAUACCGGAUAGUUCAUCGGACCGCAUGGUCCGUUGAUGAAAGGCGCUCCGGCGUCACCUUGAGAUGGCCUUGCGGUGCAGUAGCUAGUUGGUGGGGUAACGGCCCACCAAGGCGACGAUGAAGAGCCGACCUGAGAGGGUGAUGGGCCACACUGGGGCUGAGACACGGCCCAGACUCCUACGAGAGGCAGCAGUAGGGAAUCUUCCACAAUGGACGAAAGUCUGAUGGAGCAACGCCGCGUGAGUGAUGAAGGUUUUCGGAUCGUAAAACUCUGUUGUAAGGGAAGAACACGUACGAGAGGGAAUGCUCGUACCUUGACGGUACCUUACGAGAAAGCCACGGCUAACUACGUGCCAGCCGCCGCGGUAAUAC